AUGCGGCGGGAAGAAGUGGCAUUUAGAAGUGUUGCUGACUUUACAUUUAGGUUUCGGCAUAACAAAGCUUGCACUGUCUUUUCGCACUUAGGCGCACAGCGUGCCGUUGGUAAUGAUUCCACUACGGUGCUGCAAAUUCGCAAGCUGAUCCUAAGUAAUCGUUGUUGUUCAUUGCAUUCCUCCGGAAUUACUUCGUUAGGAUUGAAGAAUUGCAGCAAUUCUUCCUGA
rnacentral:rRNA from 1 species